GUGAGUCAUCGAAUCUUUGAACGCACAUUGCGCCCUGUGGUAUUCCGCAGGGCAUGCCUGUUCGAGCGUCAUUUCAACCCUCAAGCCUCGCUUGGUGUUGGGCCCUGCCCGCCGCGGCCGGCCCUAAAGACAGUGGCGGCGCCGCCUGGCCCUCAGCGUAGUACAGCUCUCGCUCCAGGGUCCGGCGGCAGCCUGCCAGAACCCCCCAACUCUGUGGUUGACCUCGGAUCAGGUAGGGAUACCCGCUGAACUUAAGCAUAUCAAUAAGCGGAGGA
rnacentral:misc_RNA from 1 species